GACGUAGGGGCCAAGCGUUGUCCGGAUUUAUUGGGCGUAAAGCGCACGUAGGCGGUUUGUUAAGUCGGAUGUGAAAUCCCUCGGCUCAACUGAGGAAGUGCAUCCGAAACUGGCAAGCUUGAGUACGAAAGAGGAUCGCGGAAUUCCCGGUGUAGAGGUGAAAUUCGUAGAUAUCGGGAGGAACACCGGUGGCGAAGGCGGCGAUCUGGGUCGAUACUGACGCUGAGGUGCGAAAGCGUGGGGAGCAAACAGG
rnacentral:rRNA from 1 species